GCGAUUGUGGCGAAGUGGUUAACGCAUCAUGAAUUGUGAUUGCCGGCAUUCGUGGGUUCAAUUCCCAUCAGUCGCCCCA
rnacentral:tRNA from 1 species